GUUUACGGCCGUCCCACCCGGGAGGUC
rnacentral:rRNA from 1 species